rnacentral:sRNA from 1 species
UAACCAGAGAGGACCCUCACCGCGAUGGU